AAACUGUGUUGUGGACACUUCUGCAAGAGGUCCUUAAAUCGCUCCCAUGUCUAAAAUAAUGAUUCAAGCUCCAUCUAUAUGAAUGAGGAUAUUUCAUUGUGAUGCCU